rnacentral:lncRNA from 1 species
AAUCACCAUUCACCUCCAAUUCAAAAGAUCUGCUGCCCGGUGAACCCGUGCUGCAUGGGAGAGUCUCCGCUCCAGAGACAGAUAAGAUCGUCCUUGAGGCAGGAAACGGACUGCCGUCCUGGAAGUUCAGUGACCAGCUCUUCCCUUGUGACGUGUGUGGGAAGGUGUUCGGCCGACAGCAGACAUUGUCUCGGCACCUCUCCUUGCACACAGAGGAAAGAAAAUACAAAUGCCACUUGUGCCCCUAUGCUGCUAAGUGCCGUGCAAACCUGAACCAGCACCUGACCGUGCACUCUGUGAAGCUCGUGAGUACAGACACUGAGGACAUAGUCAGUGCUGUCACCUCGGAAGGCAGUGAUGGGAAGAAACACCCUUAUUACUACAGUUGCCACGUGUGUGGAUUUGAGACGGAGCUCAAUGUUCAGUUUGUGAGCCACAUGUCUCUCCAUGUGGACAAGGAGCAGUGGAUGUU